CGUAGGUGGCAAGCGUUAUCCGGAAUUAUUGGGCGUAAGCGCGCGUAGGCGGUUUCUUAAGUCUGAUGUGAAAGCCCACGGCUCAACCGUGGAGGGUCAUUGGAAACUGGGAGACUUGAGUGCAGAAGAGGAAGUGGAAUUCCAUGUGUAGCGGUGAAAUGCGCAGAGAUAUGGAGGAACACCAGUGGCGAAGGCGACUUUCUGGUCUGUAACUGACGCUGAUGUGCGAAAGCGUGGGAUCAAACAGGAUU
rnacentral:rRNA from 1 species